rnacentral:rRNA from 1 species
UACGGGGGGGGUAAGCGUUGUUCGGAAUUACUGGGCGUAAAGGGCUCGUAGGCGGCCAACUAAGUCAGACGUGAAAUCCCUCAGCUUAACUGGGGGACUGCGUCUGAUACUGGAUGGCUUGGAUUUGGGAGAGGAAUGCGGAAUUCCAGGUGUAGCGGUGAAAUGCGUAGAUAUCGUAAGGAAGACCAGUGGCGAAGGCGGGUCUCUGGACAGUUCCUGACGCUGAGGCACGAAGGCCAGGGGAGCAAACGGG